UACGAAGGGGGCUAGCGUUGCUCGGAAUUACUGGGCGUAAAGGGCUCGUAGGCGGCCAACUAAGUCGGACGUGAAAUCCCCAGGCUCAACCUGGGAACUGCGUCCGAUACUGGAUGGCUUGAAUUCGGGAGAGGGAUGCAGAAUUCCAGGUGUAGCGGUGAAAUGCGUAGAUAUCUGGAGGAAUACCGGUGGCGAAGGCGGCAUCCUGGACCGACAUUGACGCUGAGGAGCGAAAGCUAGGGGAGCAAACGGG
rnacentral:rRNA from 1 species